UAAUUUUCAUUUAGCGAAAUGAUUUAUCUUCAAAUGAAAAUUAUAUCAGCCCGAUAACAACUCAUUUAAUAUUCUGAAAAUCAAAAAUCAAGCCUAAUAAGGACGUAUUACGAGCAAUAUGUACCUAAUUAAUUGAUGCUUAUCAAUACACAACUUUCAUGAAAUCCUUUCGAUGAAAAAACAUCUCAAAUAGUCUCCAUCAUCGUUUAGAGAAGUACAAAAUCAAAAUGGUGUCGUUUUGCGGAAUACUGUUCUUGGCAUUUUCUACCUUUUUACUUUUUAAUUUUUAUCAUAACCUUUUUGGAGAAUCGUACUUGGGCAGGGUGCGCAGCUGCACUAAAUAUAAUGUUUUAAUUUGUAUACUCCACCCGGACAAUGAUCCUGAAAAUGUGACCGCCUCGGUUAAUAUUUCCAAAGUGACUGAAGAGCCUUCCAUAUCCACUGAUGCAACAGAAACGAGUACUACUGUAUUUACAACAGAAGUAUUUACGACAGAGAUUACAACGAUAACGGAAGACACUGAGCCACCCACUGAUUUACCCGAAUUAGAAGACAUUUCAAAUAGAAACGAAACCUUAUUGAAGAAAUUAUUACAAAAAAUUCUUCCUGGAUUUGGAAAAAGUCGCACGACACAAACACAAACAACCAACCCAUAUGACGACGUUACAUUAACUUUUAACGCACGAUAAGGAAUUUUUAAAAUUAUUGAAUUAACAUACCUACCAUGUGACUUAUUAUUAUACAUUUGAUUUUUAAUUACUUAUAAGGAUAUCGUGUUAUUUUAAUUAUUGAUAGGUAUAAAUACAUAAUACAAUUUAAAGUAUGUAUGUACUAGCAUUUGGUUAGUUUGUAAUACUUUUUUUGAAUAUAGAUUUUUUUCAUA